rnacentral:lncRNA from 1 species
UUCAUGGAAGGAGGGUACAGAUUGCUGCUCAUGGGAUGGGGUCACUUGUGACCACCUAAAUGCUCAUGUUAUUGCCCUUGACUUGAGCUGCAGUUGGCUAUAUGGCACCUUCCCUUCCAAUACCACUCUCUUCCUUCUUCCUCACCUUCAAAAACUCAACCUUGCCUACAAUCAUUUUAAUUCUUCCAAAAUUCCAUCCGAGUUCGGUCGGUUUACAAGCCUAUUCUACCUCAACCUUUCCAAUACAUGGUUUUCAGAAGUCCCAUCCCAAGUCUCCCACCUGUCAAAAUUGGUUUCACUUGAUCUCUCCUCUCGGAUUGAUUACUCUGGGCAAGUUACAAUUGACAAACAUGCUCUGGAGGGACUUGUUCACAACCUAACCGAGGUCAGACAUCUGUUUUUGGAUGGAAUCAACAUGACUUCUGUUAAUGCUCAUGUCUUCAUGAAUCUAUCCUCUUCUCUAAGGUCUCUCAGUCUUGCUUUUUGUGAUUUGCAAGGAAAAUUCCCAAAAAACAUUUUUGAUUUGCAAAACCUCAAUCUCCUCAACUUGAGAUACAACCAAUUGAGUGGACAAAUUCCAAGAUCAUUGGGGAACCUCUUGCAACUCACUCAUUUACACUUGUCGGGGAACCAAUUGAGUGGACAAAUUCCAUUGUCAAUUCUAAACCUAACGCAGUUGGAAUACUUGGAAAUAUCUGAAAAUUCUUUAGAAGGUUCCAUUCCAGAUGAGGUAACCGCUUUUCCUAAUCUAAUAUAUUUAUACUUAUCUGACAAUUUACUCAAUGGAACACUUCCGUCAUGGUUGUAUACUGCUCCCUGCUUAAAGGAAAUAUAUCUCUCUCAAAAUCAAUUCAGUGGGCAUAUCAAAGAAUUCCAAACCAAAUCACUAGAAUAUUUAUAUCUAGAAAAUAAUAAACUCCAAGGUCCCCUUCCAUCUUCAAUAUUCCAACUUCUCAAUCUUACCGGGCUCCUUUUAUCCUCAAAUAAUCUUAGUGGUGUCAUAGAGUUGAGCAUGUUCUCAAACCUUCCAAAUCUCAAAUAUCUUGACCUUUCAUAUAACAGCCUAUCCUUAAUAUCUAAUACUACUUCUACUGUUAAUCAUAUAUUGCCUAAUCUUACAGGCUUACAUUUGUCAUCUUGCAAUCUUAGUGAAUUCCCCCAAUUUUUGAAAGGGCUUAAAAGUUUGGAAAGCUUAGACCUCUCUUGCAACAAAAUUGAAGGCAAGAUUCCACAGUGGAUGCAAGAGGUGGGGAAUGUCUCUUUGACUUACUUCAACGUAUCUCACAACUCUUUGACAGAAGUUGAGCACUUUCCAUGGAAGAAUAUUGAUGUUCUUGACUUAAGCUCCAAUUUGAUCAGUGGAAAUCUUCCGAUUCCAGCUUCGACGAUCAGAGUCUUUCUGAUCUCAAAUAAUAGUUUCAAUGGAGAGGUCUCUUCUUUAAUAUGCAAUGCCAGUUCUCUUCAAAUUCUUGAUUUGUCCCACAAUAACUUGAGUGGAACAAUUCCGCAAUGUUUCGGAAAUUUGAGCGACAGCCUUGAAUUCUUGAAUCUGAAGAAGAACAAGUUUUAUGGGACGAUUCCUCCAACAUUUGCAGAGGGAUGCCAGUUGACUAAUUUCAACUUAAAUGGAAAUCUGUUAGAAGGGCCUUUGACACCAUCCAUCCUUAAUUGUAGAGGUCUGGAAGUGCUAGAUCUUGGUAACAACAAGAUCAAUGAUACAUUUCCUCAUUGGUUGGGAAAUCUUCCAUAUUUGCAAGUUCUUGUAUUGAAGUCAAAUCAUAUGCAUGGUUCUUUGCGUGUCAAUAGCUCCAAGUCUAGCCCCUUUUUCUCUAAAAUCCAAAUUUUUGACCUCUCAAGUAAUUAUUUUUCUGGACCCCUACCUGUGAGGUACAUCAACAGCUUCAAGGCUAUCAGAAAUCUAGAGAAGAUUCGUAGUACAGUGUCGUACAUGGGGGUGAAUGGUCGGAAUGGUAGUGGCUUCUAUACCUAUUCCAUUGGAAUUGUUAUGAAAGGACAAGAUAUGGAAUUGGUGAAAAUUUUCACCAUGUGGAUGAUCAUUGAUCUAUCAAACAAUCAGUUUGAAGGGGGUAUUCCAGAGGUUUUUGGAAAGCUUAACUUACUGAAAGGGCUCAACCUUUCUCAUAAUAACCUUAGUGGUGGUAUCCCCACCUCAAUAGGGAAUUUGACAAGUCUUGAAUGGUUGGACCUAUCUUCAAACAGGUUGUCUGGGACGAUUCCAAAUAGAUUGGCAGAUCUGGCAUUUCUUUCGUCCUUCAAUGUUUCUGAAAAUCAACUCCAUGGUCAGAUUCCUCAAGGAAAACAAUUCAACACAUUUGGAAAUGAUUCAUAUCAAGGGAAUAAGGGACUAUGCGGGUUUCCAGUCUCGAAAGGUUGCAACAUCAUUGAGCCAGCACCUCCAAAUGUGCUUGAAAAAGAUGGCUCAAAAUCAAACAUUACUUUUGGUUGGAAAGUGGUGUUGAUAGGUUAUGGAUGCGGAGUGGUGUUCGGAAUGUCCGUGGGAUAUGUUGUUUUCCAAACUGGUAAGCCGAAAUGGUUGGUGAAUUUGGUUGAAAUCCAACAUGAGAAGAUGCGAAGAAGAAAGUCAAAGGAUGGCAGUCGCAGCAAUGGACGAAGAAGGAUCUAGUUAGUGGAAAUGGUGUUCAAGUGUUGAUGUUGUAUCUUCAUAAUUUCUUGUUUUGAAGUCUUUCAAUUUUUUUCCUAUGGUGAAAGGUUGCAUUGCCAUGCAUCUGUCUUUAUUAUUGUAACAAUUCAUCUAUAUUUCAUUGCAUUACGUCCUAUAACAUUUUGUAUGGUUCAACCAUUUAUAUCUUCUUUCAUGACUUCCAUUUUUGAGUCUCAAUAAUCUCUGCAUUCAAGAUUUUGUCAGCUUAUUAAUUGGUGGAUCAAUAAUCUUCAUGCUCAUCUCAUCAUCUUUUUCUCGAGUUUCUUCUGUGUGGAAAAUAAUUUGACAUUCUGCAAAUUUCCACAAUGCUUGUGGAUUACCUUUGGUUAACAGCUAUACAUAUAAAGGAAGAAAACAAGACCAUGUCCAAAUUUCCAAAAAUUAGCCAUUGAUUUUUGAACAGUUAAACUUUCGUAUUCUAUUUUUUAAAAUUGUAAAUUCUCAAAUAAUGUAAAUUAGUCCUAAAACUCAAGUUUUGAAAUCUUUACAAUUUAACCCCUUAUAGUUUCAAACUUUACUGUUUUAUACUCAACUUUCUAAAUUUUCAUAUUUCAUGAUCAUAUAAUUUAGUUACUACAUCAAUAUUUGAGAUUUCACUACUCAAACCCUUACUUCAUUUCGGUCGUUACUUCAAUUUUAUCAAAUUACAUCAUUUUUCAAUUUGAAUGCAUUGAUGUGAAAUUGAGGGACCACUAAACAAUGUUGAUGAGAGUUUAGGCAAAAUUGGUGGAUCCGAUCUCCUUAGUAAUUUCUUUGUGGAAGUACCUACUUUCACAAUGCAAACUUGGAUAGUUUGUGGUGGACGAUGAUGAAUCAUUUCACAGUCAAACACAUAAUUUUUAAACACAAAAUUAACGAUAUAUUGAAAUCAUUAUUGAAAUUAUAAUCAAAAUUAAUACAUGUUCUUUUUAUUAGCUUAAGGGCGUAAAAACCCUUCAAAAUUUUCAAAAAAAAAAAAUUUAAGUCCUUUUUUUCUACUCAAUUGAGCACUUAAACUUUUAAAAUGUAUCAAAAAUAUCUUUACACUUCUUCAAAAAAAGCAAUUAAACCCCUUUUUUUUCCGCUCAAUUGGGUACUUGAACUUUCAUAAUGCAUAAAAAAAACCUUAAAUUUUUUUUCAAAGAAACAAUUAAGCCUCUAUUUUUUUCCCACUCAAUUGGGUACUUGAACUUUCAUAAUGCAUCAAAAAGGCCUUUAUUUUUUUUCAAAAAAGCAAUUAAGCCCCUACUCUUAUUAAAAAUUAGAAAAAAUCAUAAAAAUAAUAAAGUUCAAGUACCCAAUUGAGUGCCAAAAAAUAAAGUAGGGGCCUAAUUGCUUUUUUUGAAAAUGUUUGAGGGUCUUUUUGAUGUAUUUUGAAAGUUCAAGUACCCAAAUGAGUGCAUAAAAAGAACAGGGGUUUAGUUGCUAUUUUUGAAAAAGUUUGCACCCUUAAACCUCUUUUCUUUUUCUUUUUCAUAUGUGGCCUUGUUUGCUACAACUUAGUUGCUAAGUUAAAGGGAGUGAAUAGAGCACCAUUUUCUUCUUCUGCGUGGAAAAUUAAGUUGGCAUUAUGCCAAUUUCCACAUUCAUACAUACAAAGGAAGCAAGAGCAAGUCAAUAUACUUUGUAAUCUCAUCAAUUCUAAUUUUUAAAGUGUUGUUUACUACACACUUAGGGACCAUAUAUGUAUAUAUACAUUGCAGUCUGGGUCUUUGUCGUGUUUUGUUGGUUGGCUAUGGCCUUCUUGUUGUUUCCACUGUCUGCGGUGUUUGUUUCUAAGUCAUAUGUGGCCCUGUUUGCUACAACUUAGUUGCUAAGUUAAAGGGAGUGAAUAGAGCACCAUUUUCUUCUUCUGCGUGGAAAAUAAGUUGGCAUUAUGCCAAAUUCCACAUUCAUACAUAUAAAGGAAGCAAGACCAAGUCAAUAUACUUUCUAAUCUCAUCACUUCUUCUUUCUUUAGGGAGUUCAAGUGAAAUACAAAUUUUUUCACAUCCAAUCUCAUAAAUAAUCCGUCUUUGAACUUUCACCAAAAAAUAUUAAAUACCCAUUCACUUCAAUUCUACUAUUCUUAAAUCAUUAAAGUUUUGUGGAAAAUAUGCUUCUUGGAUAAAAUUAUUCAACACACAUGCCUUGAAUUUUAUGCAAAUAAAAUAAAUGAAUAUAGGCCACACAUGCUUUGAAUUUUUAAGUAGUCCAUAAUUUUGUUCGUUUGUGUGCAAAAUUCUACAUUGCUUGACAGCCAUACAUACUAAGUAAAUAGACACCCACAUUGUUUACAUAUUAUGAGGAAGAAGACCAAGUCAAUCUACUUUGUAAUCUCAUCAAUCUUAAUUUUUUCAGUUGUUUAGGGAGUUCAAAUGAAAUACAAAAUUUUGAAAAAAAAAUGUAUCCAAUUUUGUGAAUGAAAAAUUUAUGGUAAAAAGGAUUUGGUAUGGAUACUUCAGCCCGGGUAGCAAUACUCAGGGUAAGUUUAUCAAUACAUUGCUUUUGGUUGGAAAGUGGUGUUGAUAGGUUAUGGAUGCGGGGUAGUGUUUGGAAUGGCCAAAAUAUAGCAAUCGCAUCAGUGGAUGAAGAAGGAUCUAGUUGGUGCAAAUGAAGUUAAAGCAUUUCUGCCGUCUCUUCAUAAUUUCUUGUUUGGUAGUCUGUCAGAAAGUUUUUCCUAUGGUGAAAAGUUUGAGUUGCAUUUAUAAAAUUUCCACUGUCAAAAGAUUCGAUUGCACUGCAGGGUAACAUAUUUAAGAUUGGAUUACACUGUCAAAAGAUUGCAGCAACGAUGAGAUUAAUCCAAUUACAGGAAUUGGUAUCCUAAAUGGCUUUUUGGUACGUAGCUUCAUUGACGGUACAAACUAGUUAAAAUUUCCAGCAUUCAUGUGUUUGUUUUCCCUCAAGUAAACGUAGUCAAUACUGCAAAUGGUGUGGAAGUACUGUACAUUGUGGCCCAAAUGUCCAAAAUUUCCACAUUGCAUGUAAAUUAAGUUUGCGUGAGAGAGAUAGGAGGAAGCAACAGCAAGUGUGAAGUCAAUAGACAACUGAUAGUCUUAGUCUUUUUUUGUCGAGUUAAAGUGUAGUCAAUAGACAAUUGAUAGUCUUAGCCCUUUUUGUGGAGUUAAAAGUAUAGUCAAUAAACAAUUGAUAGUUAAAUUUGUAGCAUUCUUCUUCCUCUUUAUUCUUUUGUGUGGAAAAUUAUUUGGGACCAAACUUGACGUGUUAUAAGGAAGAAGACUUUGUAAUCUCAUGAAUGUUAAUUAUUUUACUUCUUUGGUAAAAAAAGUAACCAAUUUUAUGAAUGAAAAAUAUUAUGUGGUAAAAAGGAAGUAGUUGUUCAUCACUAACAAUAUGAUGAUUGUGGAAAUACAAAAAAUCCCAUAUAUGUGUUGAAUUCUGCAUAAUAUAAAUGUCCUGCAUUGCAUGUGAAUUCUGCAAUAGACCAAACUUUACGUGUUAUAGUCCUUUAAACUGAGUUAAUGAAAAGUAACCAUUCUUAUCAAAUUUAGUUAUACUCUUAAUUUAUAACAAAGGAAAGAGUAAUUUGAGUUUAACUCAAAGGUUAAUAUGUCAUCAAUGGGUGAUGGCGUGGCGCUACCAUGUCAGCGAUUAUUUUCUUCUUUGAAUUAAGGUGAUUUCACCAAUUUUAGUUUACUUUUUUACUUCAAUUUAGGUUUAUGCUUAUUAGCUUCAAAGAUUCUAAGUGGGUGCCACAAUCAAAGGGUGAGUAAAAAGGGUUAAAAAUGAUUUUUUUAAAAUUUUUUAUUUUUAUUAAAAAUUUAGAAUUAGAAUUAGACAAAUUUUGUAAAAGUUAAGGGCUAACUUUAUUGAUUUUUUUUUUCAGAAUUCGAACUAAAAUUACAUUUUGUAAAAAGAGCUAAAUUUGUUGAGUUUUUUAUAUUUAGGAUCAAAUUGAUAGAAUGUGUAAAUAUUAGAGGUUAAAUUUGUUAUUAGAUCAAUAAAAAAACCCACAUUAGCUUUGCGUCACUCAUCUAACGACAACUAAAGGGAGAGUUAUUAAAAUAUUUAAUUUCAAAAAGUUUAGCAACUAAAUUGGAAAAUUUAAUAGUUGGGUGACUAUUUUUGCAGUUUACUACUUUUUUGGUCACCUGACUAUUAAGUGACACUUUUUAGUUGGUAUAAUAAUAAUUUUAGUCCUCAAUUUUUAUACUUUCUGUCAAUUUGACUCUGAUUAUAUAAAAUGAUUACAAAAGUGAAAUUCUUUUUAAAAUUUACAAAAUUCUAAAAAUUAAAAAUUAAAUGAAAGUAGAUAAAAAUUUCAAAUAUAAACAAAGUGAGAGAAAAUGAGGGAAAUAUUAUUUUUAAACCCUCCAACUUUUCUUUGUAUUAUCGUAAAGAAAUAUCUAAUAUCCAUUCUUUUAGAAAACAUAGAAAAAAGUAAAAAAAAAAAAGAUUAAGUAAAAUUAUCUGUAUAUAAUCUGCUUUUAUAAUUUGGGUUUUUAAAAAUAAAUUUAAAUGAAUUGAAAAUUCGAAUUGAGUUUGAAAAAUAAAAUUUUGUGGUAUAUUUUAUAUUUUUGCUAGAAAAAUGGCAUCAAAGUUGAUUUUGUAAGCUUUUGUAAUAUCAGUUACGGAUGUUCUUCAAGGGCAUGGAACUCAACUUGAAAAUUUUACUAAUUUGGUUGCAAAAAAACAUUGAGGAAGCAUAUAAUGAUCUAACCUUUUUUGUUUUGUUUUGUUUUUAAUUUGUUAUGGGAUUCUAUUGAAUGAUAAUUUUUUUUUAUUUCCCAUACAUAUUAGUUCUUCAAAAACAACAUAUUCGAGAUUUUAUUUUUCUAGAAUUUUUAUAUAGAAGUUUAUAUUUUUUAAAAUAAAUUUGAGUUUUUUUUAGAAUUUUUAUAUAGAAUCGAGGUAAAUUGGCAAAAAAAAUUAUAAAAACAAAAUACUAAAAUUGUUAUUAUAGCAACUAAAAAGUGUCAUUUAACAAUAGGGUGACCAAAUUGUAACUUUUUUAGUUAAGUGACCAAAACGAAGAUUUACCCAUAGUUUAGUGGCUAAUUAUGUAGUUUACCCUUUCAUAAUUAAAAAAUAGUUGUUAAGUUUUUCUUGUAUUAGAUAACAAUUUAGAUGGUAAAAACCCUCUUUAGUCCCUCUCAAUUUUGAUAUUAAGUAAAAUUGUCCAUUUAAAAAAAAAAUCAAAGCAAUUUAAUAUUUGUUAAUUUCGAAAGUGAGCAACUAAGGACAAUUAAUCACAAUGUCAAUAUUUUCCAUCAAUUGUACAUAUUUUUAUUGGUGUAAUAACAAAUUUAGCUCUCAAAGUUUACACAUUCUGUCAAUUUAGUCUUGAUUUAACAAAUUUAACCCGCAACAAUUACAUAUUCUAUUAACAUUGACACAUAAUAUAUAAACAUUGAGAGCUUAAUUUUUUAUUGUAUCAAUAAAAAUUAUGUACAAUUUACAUAAAGCAUUAACACAAUGAUUAAUUGUCCUUAGUUGCUCCCUUUCAAAAUUGAUCAUGAUUAAAUUGCUCUAAUUUUCUGAGAGGAACCAAUUUGUUCAAUAUAGAAAUUGAGAGGGACGAGAAAUGUGUUUUUUAUCCAUUUUAGAUACCAACAAGUGUUUGGCAUAGUCGCAAGACAUAUUACAUUCUCAAGGAGAGAAUGCGUAGUCAAACGUUGGAGAUAUCAAUGUUGUGUGGGGUAUCCAAGGAUCUCGAACACGAACUGUAAAACAUAUAUAAAGAAUAAAAAAAUAACAUCUUAAUUUAAAUAAUUAUAAAUUUUAAUUUGAAAAAAGUAUUUUGAGAAACAUAAGUUUUAGAAGUAGUAAAAUUGAAUCGAUAAAACAUGUCCAUUAUAUCAGAAUCAUAAAAAUACAACUUAAUUAAUUUGAAUUUAAACUUAACUCAACUCGACUUGAUUAUAAAAACUGAUAAUUUGAAUUCAAAAUGACAUGAUCUUGAAAUGAUUUGAAUUAAUUGUCAGACCCGAACGACAAAACUCGAAAUGAUGCAAUCCAAAAACACAAAUCAAGUGAACUAAACUACGAAAAAAAAAACCUUACACUGACUCAAAUCCAAAAUAGUUUAAUCCUAAAAUAACCUAAAUUUUAUAUAAUAAAAACUCGAAAUAACCCGAAAAUUUUUAAAUUAAAAUUGAUCCGACCCAAAUUCACACCACCUAAAAUCAAUCGUAACCACCUAAUUAAAAAGCAUGAAAUGAAAUGAUGUAAAGAGAAAAUCAGAGAAAACCAAAUAGAAAGUAACAAGCCUUUUUCAGAAUUGAAAGCAAAUUCCGUACAUUCACGACAUGCAUAAAACAACAAUGGUUUAUAGAAUUUGAGUUUUAGUCCCUGUACUUUAAAAGUUAAUUUUUCUUAAUUUAAAAACUUUAGUUUAAUCAUUUAUGUUGGUUGUAGUUUCCGUUAGCUUAAUCAACAUGUUAAAUUACUAAAUUUUGACAAAAAAUACUUACGAGUUUAAUGAUUGUACCGAGAUUUUUAAAUAAAAAAGUCGGAAGACUAAUUUCUAACCUUUUAAAUAUAGGGACUAAAAGCAUCUUUUAACUUUGAUAUUAUUAUUAUAAGCAGGGAUAAUGUCACCUUUGGCAUCUGUACUUUCAUAAAAUGUCUAGUGGUACAAGUACUUUGAAAAUAUAUAAUGUGGUACCUGAACUAUCAAUAGGUGUUAUUAUUAUGGUACAUGUACUUUGAAAAUGUUUAAUGUGGUACCUAAACUAUCAAUAUAUAUUUUAUUAUGAUACUUGAUAAAGACGGACUAUGGUGGCUUAGGGGGCUCUUUGUCCCGCCACCCUUGCAAAAAAAAAAAAAAUCGAAGAAUUUUGUUUUUUCCUUUAAAAUUUUUAGAAAAUUUCAAUUAGGCCCUCAAAAUUUUUGAAAAUUUUCAUUAUACCUUUUAAUUUUUUUGAAAAUUUUAAUUAAGCACUCUUAAAUUUUGAAAAUUCUCAUUGAUCUCACAAAAAUUUUAAAAUUUUUUAUUAGACCCCCAAUUUUUUUAAAAAAAAUCUUAUUAAACCAUUAAAUUUUUAGCAAAUUUUACCUGCCCCCUCCCCCCCAAAAAAACCUAGUCCCAACUACUAGUAUCCGCCAUUGUUACUUGGUAUUAACACUGUUAGAAAAUUGCUAAAUCAACCAAUAAAAAUUUGACACAUAGAACCCUUUUUUUAAUUAUCAAGUCCACGUGGAUAAUAUAAUAGUGAAAAAAUAAAUAAAAAAUAAUUAAAUGAAAUUAAAAAACAAAUAACUAAACAUAUGGUUAAUAAAAAAAAACCCAUACUUUCAAAGAUAAUAAAAAAUAUUAUUUAAAAAUCAAUUGAAAAUAUUAUUUUAAAAGGAAAACUCUUUGAAGAAGAUGAUCAUUUGCUUAAAUGGAGAAUAUAAUAUUUUUGGUUAUGUAAGUUUAGUAUUUACUUCUUUUUUAUUAAUCAUAUGUUUAGUUUUUUUUUUAAUUAAUUUAAUUGUUUUAUUUAGUUUUUCACAUAAUGUUAUUUUACACAUGCGGACUUGAUGAAUUAGAAAAAAAAUAUUAUGUGUCAAAUUUUCAUUGGUUGGUCUAAUAAUUCAUUAACGGUGGAUUUGUUCUACAUUGAUGACAAAGAUGUGGAGUUUAAAGAAGUAAGAACUUAUCAACAAUAUUCGAGGUUCUGUUAUAUGUUACCUUAUUAAAAAAGUCAUCACUUAAAUUCUUCUAUGUUGCCUUAUGUAUGUAGGUUCUUGAGUCACCUUUGCCAAAAGCACCGCUUGAUACAUCUGUUACAUCCCACUGGCUUGCGAUUGAAGGCAUUCAACCAGCAAUUCCAGAAAAUGCUUCAAUUGAAGGUACCGUCUUAGCUAACCUAAAUAUUCUCUCGAAGCUAUUUGUGUUGAAGACUCUCAUGGUUCAUGUUCUUUUCUGGUUUUAUCACUUUAAUCUAAUACGACUUAUCGUCAUUUCUACACGGAAUUUGUAUUUUGCUUUCCAUGCAGCACCUUCUGAUGGUAAAAAGGCUGAAUACAAAAAAGAUGGGCUUUCCGUUGAUGUCAAAUUACCUGUUAAGCAUGUAUUAUCUAGAGAGCUUCAAGUAUGUUGUACAUCUUCAGCAACAUUUUUCUGUUAAAAUACAUUUUGCACAGAAUGAUAUUAAAAGACUAAUUUGGUUGUCAUGCAGCUUUACUUUGACAAGAUCGUGGACAUUACCAUGAAUAAAUCAGUCUCAAUUCUCUUUAAACAAGCAUUACUGAGUUUGGCAACAGACUCGGGAUUACAUCCUUUAGUUCCUUAUUUUACAUAUUUUUGCGGAUAUCUCAUACCUGAUUAUAUAUGUGUGUUGCAAAGAACUUUUGGUUGGUUAUCUCGAGCUUACAUUUUUGCCACAUUUAUCUCAGGUUGCACGGAGUAAUUUCCCUCUCAUGUUUGCUUUGAUGCGUGUUGCCCGGAGUCUUCUCCAGAAUGAACACUUACACAUAGAACCUUACUUGAGUUUAUUAUUUCAAUCAUUUAGAAGUACACGAACUAAUGCAAAUAUGCUAGUGGUUUAUUUUCCACCUAUCUGAUUUUUUAAAAUGUUCUUCAGUUACACCAGUUGAUGCCAUCUAUUAUUACCUGCCUCGUUGCAAAAAGGUUAGGAAAUAAAUUCACCGACAAUCAUUGGGAACUUAGAAACUUCGCAGCAAAGCUAGUGGCAUCAUUAUGCAAAAGGUGAGGAUUUCUUUUCUUUUGGACUUAUACAUGCAUAUUCGUUUUUAUGAAUCUCAGGUGUCUGAUUUUUUAGUUAUAAACUUGGAUCUAUUCUUCAAAUCAUGUGUAUAUCAUUUUUAUGCUAUUUCACACAUGCAAAACAAAUGGUGCGAGCGUGCAUGUUAUAUGCAGAAUGCAUAGAUUAAUUACAUGUGGAUCAUUAAGCAUGCCUAUGUUUGACCAUUGUGUGUGGCUACUUUUUUUUACAUGAUCCAAUUUUCGAUAUGCUUUGCUUUUAGGUUGAAUGCGGAAAAGAUUAGAACUUAGUUUCCAGCAUAAUGAUUUGUCUUGGAUAUGCAGAUUUUUACAUGCAUUUCUUACAAGUCAAUAUUUUAUAGAUUUGGGCAUGUUUAUCACAAUCUUCAGCCACGUGUGACAAGGACACUGCUCCAUGCUUUUUUGGACCCAACGAAAACAUUUCCCCAGCAUUACGGAGCAAUUCAAGGGUUAGCAGCCCUUGGACCCAGUGUGGUAUAAUUCUAAUCUCAAAUAUUUACUAGCAACACAAUAAGAUACUUGUUUGUGGGAUCAACUGGUCAAAGAUAUUGCAAUGAUAGCCAUCUUUUUAAGCCCAUUUCUUUCAGAAAACUGUUUUGUCACUCUUUUCUGCAAGAUCCGAAGAAAGAAAGAACUUGGAAAUCUAUAGUCCAAAAGUGUAAAUAUGCGGUUUCUCUAUAGGUAUCUUUAUUAUGGCAUCUGUACAGUUUGUCUUUCAUAUGUUUGGCUAACGCUUCUUCUUCCAUGUGUAGGUUCGUUUACUUAUACUACCAAAUCUUGAAGCGUAUUUGCAGCUUCUUGAACCUGAAAUAAAAAGACACGAGGCCUGGUGUGUUUAUGGGGCCCUGCUGGUAAGUUCCACAUCAAAUUUGGUACCAGUUUAUGAGCAUCGUUUCAUUUAUUUGCUGUAGAACUAACAACACUGCAUAAAAUUUCCACUAACAGCGUGCAGCUGGACUGUGCAUGUAUGAUCGGCUUAAAAUGUUCCCCAGUUUGCUAGCACCCCCAACUCGUCCCGUUUGGAAAAGCAACAACAAAGUUGCGACAAGUAUGAUUUCUUCGAACCAUCAUAUUUACACUUAAUCCACAAGUCUCUUCUCCCCCUUUACGAUAUUCCUUUUUCUGAUCAACCAAGAUAAACGAAAAGCAAGCACGGACACCUUGAUGCAGCAGCAACAACCUGCCAAGAAAAUAGCAACUGAGAGUGCAAUAGGUAUGAUGCCAAUAAAUUCCAUGCAAGCUGAUUUACAAGGGUCAGUUAGCGGCUUUUCUACCACCGUAGGAGGUUCCAAUAUCGGUGUAUCAUCAAUGUCACGGCCGUUAUCAAACUAUAACAUGCUUGGAAGGGAGGCUGGGGGUCGAGUUUCAAAGACAUCAACCGUUCUAGCUCAGGCUUGGAAGGAAGACACAGACGCAGGGAACUUGUUAGCAUCAUUAUUUGAACUUUUUGGUGAAAGUAUGUUAUCAUUUACUCCCAAACCUGAGCUUUCAUUCUUCCUUUGAUUGAAUUUCACCUCCAAAAGCUAUAGUUUUUGAAGGAAUUUGUGUAAAUUAUCCCCAUAGUUUUUUUCAGUCUUACUGUGUUUAUCUUUAUAAGUCUUCUUUUUUUCCUUGCUCAUAAAUGUAUUGUAGUUAUCAGAAAAUAUAUUCUACUUUGGAUUUUGUUUAUAUUAAAUUUUAGGUUAAAUUCUGCUAUUAGUCUCUGUAUUUACGAAAAUGAUGGAUUUAGUCCUUAUACCUUAAUUUGAUCAAUUUUAGUCAUUGUAUUUUUUGAAUUGGUCAAUUUUAAACUAUUUACUUUUUGAAGUUUGAAAUUUUAGUCUUGAUCCAAAUAAUAAUAAUAAUUAAAUCUGCUUAUUUAAAUUCAAUUAUUAGUUUUGUAUUAUGUAGAUAGUUAUAAAUUUAGGGUGGGUUUGGAUGGGCUGUGCUUUUACCUGCAGUUAGUGUAAAAAUAGCGGCGGUGGUGAGAUUAGAUAUCCAAGGUACCUAAUUUUUAUUUUGGCCAUAAGUACUACUAAAACUAUUCUUCCGUUACCCAUUUUAUACCAAAAUGUUAUAUCGGCUAAAAAGAUUCCAACAAAUAAUAGAUUGUAUGUCAUAUAAACUUUUUUAAAAAAUCAUUAAUUAAUUAAUUUUUAUAUUUUUCUUUCUUAUUCCUUUAUAAUGUUUGACAAUGUCGAUAAUGCUUGAAAUUGGCCCACUUGAGGUCGAAACGCUGGUGAUUAAUUUUGGUUUUGAAUUUCACCACCUACUUCUCUGACCAGAGGGGAUAGAAAAAGUUCUUUCAUCGAUCAAAACUAGUAUUUUCAAAAACAGACUGAUUCUACGGGUUGGAUAGGAAAUCGGUUUGGAAAUAGGGGUUGAAUCGAUUGACUUGCGAGCAAAAACAAAUCGGUUGAACUAAGCUAAAAAAACUGGUUGAAUAAGUUCUCUCUUUUUAUAUAUAUAUAAAUAAUAAUAGGCUUUGUUUUUACUACAUGUCAAUUUUUAAUUGGUUAAUUUUUUUUUCAUAUAAAUUGAACAAUUUGACUAAUGACGGAGGUACCAAAUUAUAGUCUAGGUACCAAUUUAUGGGUUAAGCCUAUUUAUAAAAUAGACUUUUGACAGUUUGACUAAUGGCGGUAGUAACUUGGGAAAAAAAAGUAGUUUAUGUACCACUUGUGACAAAAAAUAAGAUUAGGUACCAACAUGGGAAAAUGAGUAUAAUUUAGAUACCGAUUUAUGAGUUAAGCCUAAUAUAUUUGUCGCAUAAUUUUUUGAAAAUAACAGAACUUAAUAAAUUUAACGGUUAUUGUUUGGUGAUUACUAAAAUUUUAAAAUUUGAAAAGUACAUGAACUAAAAAUGACCAAAUUAAAAUAUAAAUAUUAAGUCCACAACUUUUGCAAAGUACAAGGACUAAUUGCAGAAAUUAACCUAAAUUUCAUAUGGGUCAAUUACAAAAAUAAUCACUAAACUAUCCCUUUGGUUCUAUUCUAGUCACUCAACUAUAUAGGUGCUCAUGAGCUUGGCCAGGUCAGGCCUAAGUAAGGGUGAGCAUUCGAUUGAAUCGAAAAUAGGGUUUGGGAUAGAUGGGAGGGGAAUAAAAGUUUUAGGGGAAAAGUGGGAGGGAGUAAAAAUUUUGGGAGAAAAUAAAAGGUUUUGAGGGUUUUGGGGAGUAAAAUAUUGAGAAAAAAUAAAUAGGAGAGUAAAAUUUUGGUGGGAAAUGGAUUUUGGGUAGAUUGGGGGGUUGGGAGGGGAGGGGAGUAAAAGUUUUGGGGGGAAAGUGGGAAGGAGUAAAAGUUUUGAGGGAAAAGUAAAAAAGUUUGGGAGUUUGGGGUAAAAAUGUAAAAUAUUAUAGUUUGAUAUUCGAAUUAUUCGAAUUAUUCGAGUUAUUCGAAUUCGAAAACUCAACUCGAUUCGAACUCGAAAUUCGAAAAAAAAUUCGAGUUGAUUCGAAUAACUCGAUUCGUUUAACUCGAAAUUUGAAUUUUUUUCAAUUUUUUCGAGUCGAAUCGAGUUUUGCUCACCCCUAGUUGCAAGUGCAACUUGCGUGGUGGCUGCCAGAAGGACUGAAUCGUAAAUGUAGCAAAAGUUUUGGGGCAAAAAUGUAAUUUUGAGAAAGUUUAGGGUCAAAAUAUAAUUUUAAAAAAUAUUAAGGGUUAAAAUAUAAUUUUAUAAAAAUUUAAGGGUCAAAAUGAAAUUUUAGAAAAGUUCAGAGGUCAAAAUACAAUUUUUAAAUUUUUUUUAAAAAAAAAAACACGAAAUUAUUCCCACAAAAUUAAGUGAUUACACGUAACUUUUCAAUGUAAAAGAAAAAAAAGACUGUAACACCAAUGUUGUGGUGUUAUUUGUUGCCUAUAAAUACCAUUCCUAUUCUUCAUCUUCCUCUGCAAACAUAACAUGGCCCCCUAUCUCUUUCUCUGCCUAUUCCUCUUCUUUCCCCGUCUUUAUGCUUCUUUUUCUUCUUCAGGAUAUCAGUCCUGCUCUUCAUUAAUCCAGUUUAAGGACUCUUUUUCCAUAACAGAGGAUGCUUCUUCUGAUUGCAAUGAGAUUGCUGGCCUUAAAUCUUAUCCCAAGACAAAUUCAUGGAAGGAGGGUACAGAUUGCUGCUCAUGGGAUGGGGUCACUUGUGACCACCUAAAUGCUCAUGUUAUUGCCCUUGACUUGAGCUGCAGUUGGCUAUAUGGCAACUUCCCUUCCAAUACCACUCUCUUCCUUCUUCCUCACCUUCAAAAACUCAACCUUGCCUACAAUGAUUUUAAUCUUUCCAAAAUUCCAUCCGAGUUCGGUCGGUUUACAAGCCUAUUCUACCUCAACCUUUCCCAUACAGAGUUUGAAGGAGAAGUCCCAUCCCAAGUCUCCCACCUGUCAAAAUUGGUUUCACUUGAUCUCUCCUCUCGGAUUGAUUACUCUGGGCAAGUUACAAUUGACAAACAUGCUCUGGAGGGACUUGUUCACAACCUAACCGAGGUCAGACAUCUGUUUUUGGAUGGAAUGGACAUGUCUUCUGUUAAUGCUCAUGUCUUCAUGAAUCUAUCCUCUUCUCUAAGGUCUCUCAGUCUUGCUUAUUGUGAUUUGCAAGGAAAAUUCCUAAAAAACAUUAUUGAUUUGCCAAACCUCAAUCUCCUCAACUUGGGACGUAACCAAAACCUCAAUCUUGAUCCUUUGAAGUUCAAUCGGAGCAGCAAUCUCGAACAUUUGGAUCUGUCGUGGAUGUCCUUCUCUACAGAAUCCGUUAAUUCAGUUGAUAAUCUACAGGCCUUAAAGUACUUAGAUCUAUCAGGAAAUUCUUUCUUUCAAGGAUUGUCUGUCUCAAUCACAAAUUUAUCAUCUUUGGAGCAAUUGAUAAUUUCAGGCGCAAAUUUUUUUGGAGGAUUGCCUGACUCGAUGGGGAAUCUUGUGUCCUUGAAGUUUUUAUUUCUCUCCGAUUCCAACUUUUCAGGACCGCUUCCAAGAUCACUGGGAAACCUCUUUCAACUCAAGUGUUUAGACUUGAGAUCAAACAAAUUGAGUGGACAAAUUCCAUUGUCAAUUCUAAACCUAACGCAGUUGGAAUACUUGGAAAUAUCUGAAAAUUCUUUAGAAGGUUCCAUUCCAGAUGAGGUAACCGCUUUUCCUAAUCUAAUAUAUUUAUACUUAUCUGACAAUUUACUCAGUGGAACACUUCCGUCAUGGUUGUAUACUGCUCCCUCAUUAGACAGUAUAGGUCUCUCUCAAAAUCAAUUCAGUGGGCAUAUCAAAGAAUUCCAAUCCAAAUCACUAGAAUUGAUAGCGUUAGAGAGUAAUAAACUCCAAGGUCCUCUUCCAUCUUCAAAAUUCCAACUUCUCAAUCUUACCCACCUCUCUUUAUCCUCAAGUAAUCUCAGUGGUGUCAUAGAGUUUCGCAUGUUCUCAAACCUUCCAAAUCUAAAACUUCUUGACCUUUCAUACAACAGCCUAUCCUUAGCAUCUAAUACUACUUCUUGUGUUAACCAUAUAUUGCCUAAUCUUACAGACUUACGUUUGUCAUCUUGCAAUCUUAGUGAAUUCCCCCAAUUUUUGAAAGGGCUUAAAAGUUUGAAAAGGUUAGACCUCUCUUGCAACAAAAUUGAAGGCAAGAUUCCACAGUGGAUGCAAGAGGUGGGGAAUGGCUCUUUGACUUACUUAAACGUAUCUCACAACUAUUUGACAGAAGUUGAGCACUUUCCACGGAAGAAUAUUGAAGUUCUUGACUUAAGCUCCAAUUUGAUCAGUGGAAAUCUUCCGAUUCCAGCUUCGACCAUCAAUGUCUUUUUGAUCUCAAAUAAUAGUUUCAAUGGAGAGGUCUCUUCUUUAAUAUGCAAUGCCAGUUAUCUUAAAAUUCUUGAUUUGUCCCACAAUAACUUGAGUGGAACAAUUCCGCAAUGUUUUGGAAAUUUGAGCAACAGCCUUCAAUUCUUGAAUCUGAAGAAGAACAAGUUCUAUGGGACGAUUCCUCCAACAUUUGCAGAGGGAUGCCAAUUGACUAAUUUCAACAUAAAUGGAAAUCUGUUAGAAGGGCCUUUGACACCAUCCAUCCUUAAUUGUAAUGAACUGGAAGUGCUAGAUCUUGGUAACAACAAGAUCAAUGAUACAUUUCCUCAUUGGUUGGGCAGUCUUCCAUUUUUGCAAGUUCUUGUAUUGAAGUCAAAUCAUAUGCAUGGUUCCUUGCGUGUCAAUAGCUCCAAGUCUAGCCCUUUUUUCUCUAAAAUCCAAAUUUUUGAUCUCUCGAGUAAUUAUUUUUCUGGACCUCUACCUGUGAGAUACAUCAACAGCUUCAAGGCUAUCAUAAAUCUAGAUAAGAUUGGGAGUACAAUGUCGUACAUGGGGGUGUAUGCUCAGAGAGGUAGUGGCUUCUAUACCUAUUCCAUUGGAAUUGUUAUGAAAGGACAAGAUAUGGAAUUGGUGAAAAUUUUCACCAUGUGGAUGAUCAUUGAUCUAUCAAACAAUCAGUUUGAAGGGUGUAUUCCAGAGGUUUUUGGGAAGCUUAACUUACUGAAAGGGCUCAACCUUUCUCAUAACAACCUUCAUGGUGGUAUCCCCACCUCAAUAGGGAAUUUGACAAGUCUUGAAUGGUUGGACCUAUCUUCAAACAGGUUGUCUGGGACGAUUCCAAAUAGAUUGGCAGAUCUGGCAUUUCUUUCGUCCUUCAAUGUUUCUGAUAAUCAGCUCCAUGGUCAGAUUCCUCAAGGCAAACAGUUCAACACAUUUGGAAAUGAUUCAUAUGAAGGAAACAAGGGAUUAUGUGGAUUUCCAGUCUCGAAAGGUUGCAACAUCAUUGAGCCACCACCUCCAAAUGUGCUUGAAAAAGAUGGCUCAAAAUCAAACAUUACUUUUGGUUGGAAAGUGGUGUUGAUAGGUUAUGGAUGCGGAGUGGUGUUGGGAAUGUCCGUGGGAUAUGUUGUUUUCCAAACUGGUAAGCCGAAAUGGUUGGUGAAUUUGGUUGAAAUCCAACAUGAGAAGAAGCAAAGACGAAAGUCAAAGAAAGGCAAUCGAAGCAAUAGACGAAGAAGGAUCUAAGUACAGCAAAUGAUGUUCAAGAAUUAGUGUUGUAUUUUCAAAAUUUCUUGUUCUGUAGACCGUUUUGCCCAUGGUGAAGGGUUGCAUUGGUAUGUGUAUGUCUUUAUUAUUGUACCAAUUCCUGUCUUUCAUUGCAUUUCGUACUAUCUGUAAUGGUUUGUUUGAGUGUAACAUUUUGUAUGGUAUUGUUGUUUAUGUCUUCUUUCAUGACUUUCCAUUUAGUCUCGAUAAUCUUUGCUACUGCUCAGUAAAGGAGGAAGGAGAAUAAAAUGUCUCAAUUUAUGUCAAUUUAUGCUUGCAGAUUUGACGUGGAAUGUUGUUGAACUGAAGGUUGUUUAACUUUUGUCUUCUAAGCUAUACAUGAACAUAUGGGAUGUGACAAAUAUUAUUUUAGCUUUUGCUUAUGAAAUGUUGAAAUAGUGAGUUUAUAUUCCUUGAUUAAUAAAAAGUGAGAUGGAGAUAGUCAAACCUCAAUUUCCACAUUGAAAUUGAAUCCAAACAUUAAUUGGUGGAUCACAUGUCUUGUAUUCUGUCAAGUUAAAGGGAGUGAAUAGAGCACCAUUCUUCUUCUGCGUGGAAAAUAAGUUGGCGUUAUGCCAAUUUUCACAUUCAUACAUAUAAAGGAAGCAAGACCAAGUCAAUAUACUUUGUAAUCUCAUCAUUUCUUCUUCAUUCUUUAGGGAGUUCAAAUGAAAUACAAAUUUUUGGUAAAUCAACUCUUCUUUUUUAUGAAUAAAAAUUAUAUGGUAAAAAGGAAGUGGUGUUAAUAAUAAUAAUAAUAAUAAUAAUAACAACAACAAUACAAAACUAAUAAAGCAAUUUAGUCUAUGAUUUGCACAAUGAUUAAUGUAGCGACCUAAAAAUUUAGGCACGAGCGCUAAUUGAAGUGAUUAUUGAAAAUUUGAAAACAGAAUCUCGAUUUUAUUUGAAAAAGGAGUCGCUAUCGAUCUUUUUUUCUAGGUGUGAUCGGACACCUAAUAAAUUCUCUUUUUAGAAGAAAAAUUUAUUUUUAAAUUUUUCUAAAAAUAGGUAAUUUUUCUAAAAAAUUUAGGGGUCAAAAUGUAAUUUUUUAUUUUUUGAAUUUUUUUUGAAAUUUAAAAAAAUAUAUAUAUAUAAACACGACAAAACCCGGACAAAAUUUAGUGCUUACAAUUAAUACCUAAUUUGAUCCUUGAAUUAUAGUUCAAAAAGUAUUUUUAUAUUUUUAAAUUUUCAUAAAAAUAAUUGUAUCAAAAUUUAAAAAUCUUAAAAAUAAAUACAAAUUUUAUAUAAAAAAUCAAUUGGCCCAAGAAAAAAAAUUUACCAACUAAAUUUUCCAUAUCCAAACUCAUAAAUAAUUCUUCUUUGAACUUUCACAAAAAAAUAUUAAAUACCCUUUCACUUUAUCAUUAUAAAUAUAAUAUACAUUUUUUUCCUUCUUUUUCAUGUAGAUCAGCUUCAACUCUACUAUUCUUAGAUCAUUAUAAAUAUAAUAUAUGUUUUAUUUACAGCUGAAAGUAAAACCUUGAGUUGAAAUUUGGCAGAAAAAAUUGUGGGUUUGGAGAAGAAGAAGAGCACUUUGUAUUUAAAUUUAAAAAAUCAAAAAUUUCAAAACUGAAAGUUACUCAAAACCCUAAACAAUCUAAUAAUUGGAGUUAUAGAAAAGAAAUAUGAGUUUAGAAAUAAAUAAAACAAAAUAAAUUUGCAAAACAAUUUCUAGGCAAAACAACAUGAAGUUGUUGAUGUGAUUGAAGGUGUUCUUCAACGGUGGAAAACAAAUAGAAUUUAAUUUGAAAAUUUUAAGAUUUUUUAAAUAAUAAAAAAUUGCAUUAGUUUAAAAACUUUAGUUUUAAUUUUAAGAUAUUUUUAGAUUUAUACAUAUUUAAUUAUUUUUAGAUUUUUUAGAUUUAAAUGAAGUUACAAUUAUUUUUGAAAACGGUACCUCUACAUUUUUGAAGGUACAAGGAAAUAAAAUAUGGAUUUGGUAUCGAUACUUCGGCCCGAGUAUCAAUGCUCGAGGUAAGUUUAUUGAUACCUUGCGAAAGGUACCAAUAAUUUUUUUAUAUUUUGAUAUUUGGUAAGAAACAUAAUGUUAGUUUGGUAUCGAUUUUCCAUGAGAUAUCAAUACCACUUAAAGAAAAUAUCGAUAGCCCUAGGACAGUAUCAAUACCUAUGUAACAGUUUUAGAAAUUUUGCAACUGGGCCCAUUUGUAGGUUUGAUUGAUGUUUUUAAUACCCUUAGUGUAUGUAUGGCAUGUUUUAAUGAUAAGAAGUGGUUGAACGACUACAACUCAUACGUAGGAUUGAAUAAAGAUGAUGAUUGGUUACUUGUGAAAUUGUUUGCUAAGUAAAUGAUGCAUGAUGGUGGUGUAACAUCCUAAUAUUUCGGCUUGGCGACUGAGCCGAGUAUAGGGUGUUACAAUGUGUUCCACAAGUUUCAUCAGCAAUCCUCAAUGCAUCUAAUUAAUUGGGAAAAUUGAGAAAAUAGAAAUGGUCAAGAAGAUGUAACAUGAUGAGUACCUCUUUGCACCGUCAAGAAUUUUAGUAAGUCUCCAAAUUCAUUCAUUAACCCUCCUUCCUGUUAAAUAUUUAUCAUUAAUUUUAUUAAAUUAAAACAUAAAUUUUUAUAAAUCUAAAGUGUAAUUUAUGAGCCGGGUUAUUCAAUCCAAAAAAAAAAAAUCAGCCAAGACUCUUUGGACAAAUUGCUUGAGUAAAACCAGAAAAUGAAUAACAAUUUUGAUGGAUUUUGAUUACAAAUGAAUUGAGGCAUAAUGCCAUUACAUAUACCAUGCAUUCAGCUGGUCAAAAUGAGACAGACAUCACCUAAUCAUCAACCUAACUCCACUAAGUAGCCUUGAAACUUAUGAAAACAUAACUUGCACACAUAGGUACGCUGAUUUAUCAAUCUAUCAGCACCUAAUUACAUCAAACAUGUUACCAACUUAGUUCAAAUCAAACUAAGCAAGAAAACAUUAACUUAAAGUAACAAAAAAUGAACAGCAGCAUGAACUUCAGCUGCAACUGCAUGGCUGGAGCAGCUCUGCUUCUUGUCUGCAUGCCGGCCAACUUCAACAAGAUCUGAGUAAGGCUAAUUUGUCCAGAAGUUGCAUCAUGCAAAACUAUUUAAUGGCUUUUAGGUAGCUUUGUCAACGGCAAAAAAAAUGAGAAAAUUAGUCAAAUUUCUUCCAUUUUUAUCUUUAAAAAUUUGGUUUUGUGCGUCAACAUGAAGUACAUGUGGCACGUACAUGCAAACUGUCUGAUUAUUUAGACAUCUACACUAGUUUUUAAAGGUAAAAAUAGAAGAAAAUUUUAAUAAACAAGACCAAUUAACUCUUUUAUCUAGCAUACAAGAAUUAUUCUAUACAUCUUUCAAUAAAUGGGGAAAAUUACAUCCACACAUUCUCCACAUUUCAGACCUGUAAUUCUAGCCAAUUGGUCACAAGCAUACAUGUCCCAUUUCAAUAUUCAAAGGUCUGCUUUGAUUAUUUUAUUUUGUGUUCUGUUGUCGCCCCAAAAUAGUUCCACUUGGCACAUCUCCAUACAUUUCAAACAUACCAAAAAUCUGCUGGCAAGCAAUACAAGACAAGUUCCAGCCACUUCAACAUUUGGCUCCUGUUCAUUGCCAAAAGAAAAAAAUAAACAUUUUUUAUAUUUAAUUGAAGGUCAAAAACACAUAAAAAGACAACCGGACAGCUAGUAUUUCAUCCAAUCUUCACAACAUGUCUGUGUGCGUGCAGAUCCUUCACUUCCCAGAAGCCUUUAGCGCGUAUUCUAUUAUAAAAUCACAGAUUACUAUUUAAAUGAUAAAUAAAUUAUUUAAAGUAUGAAAAUAUACAUGUUUUUUUUUAUUGGCUUAAGGGCGUAAAAAAUCCUUAAAUUUUUUUUUUAAAAAAGACAAUUAAAUUUCUCCUUUUUUUACACUCAAUUGAGCACUUAAAGUUUUAAAAUGCAUCAAAAAUACUCUCAAACUUCUUCCGAAAAAACAAUUAAAUCCUUAUUUUCUUUCCCACUCAAUUGGGUGCUUGAACUUUUUCAUAAUAUUUUUUUGGGCGAUUUAAUGAACCAUACAAGUUUCAAGGCUAAAAGAGGCAAAAGAAAAAGAAAAAGAAAAAGAAGCUAAAAUGACUUUUUGUUUGUAAAGUCAAAAAAUACCAAAUAAAUCAUUAUGUCUUUUUAGUUUUAAUUUUUUACUUGAUUAAAAGAGAAAUAAUUAACGAAUGAAAAAUAGCUAUUCCUAAAUAAAUUUAUCAGAAUUUAUAACAAAUGAGAUUUUAGAUUUGAAGUAUGAGGUUAUAUAUAUUAUAUAAGUAUACCUGUUUUUAUGGAAUCGGUGGAUUAUAUUUUCGACAGUCUUCUUCCCCAAGCGUAGUGAAUAGAGCACAAUUUUGUUCUUUUGGAUGGAAAAGAAUUUCUACAUUAAUUAGAUUUGGUUGACAGGCAAAUGAAUAGAUACACACAUUUUUUACGUGUUAUUAAGGAAGAAGACUAAGUCAAUCUACUUUGUAAUCUCAUCAAUCUUAAUUUUUUUAGUUGUUUAGGGAGUUCAAAUGAAAUACAAGAUUUUGCUAUAAAAAAAAAAAGCAUCCAAUUUUAAGAAUGAAAAAUAUACGGUAAAAAGAAGACUAAUGGUUGUUGAUGAUUGUGAAAAAUACAAAAAUUAUUUGUUGCCUAUAAAUACCAUUCCUAUCCUUCAUCUUCCUCUACAAACAUAACAUGGCCUCCUAUCUCUUUCUCUGCCUAUUCCUCUUCUUUCCCCAUCUUUAUGCUUCUUUUUCUUCUUCAGGAUCUCACUCCUGCUCUUCGCUAAUCCAGUUCAAGAAUUCUUUUUCCAUCACUCAGACAGAUGUUGCUUCUUCUUAUUGCGAUGAUCAAUCUUAUCCCAAGACAGAUUCAUGGAAGGAGGGUACAGAUUGCUGCUCAUGGGAUGGGGUCACUUGUGACCACCUAAAUGCUCGUGUUAUUGUCCUUGACUUGAGUUGCAGUUGGCUAUAUGGCAACUUCCCUUCCAAUACCACUCUCUUCCUUCUUCCUCACCUUCAAAAACUCAACCUUGCCUACAAUUAUUUUAAUCUUUCCAAAAUUCCAUCCGAGUUCGGUCGGUUUAUAAGCCUAUUCUACCUCAACCUUUCCAAUACAGGGUUUGCAGGAGAAGUCCCAUCCCAAGUCUCCCACCUGUCAAAAUUGGUUUCACUUGAUCUCUCCUGUCGGGCUGAUGCACAAACAAUUGACAAACAUGCUCUGGAGGGACUUGUUCACAACCUAACCGAGGUCAGACAUCUGUUUUUGGAUGGAAUCAACAUGUCUUCUGUUAAUGCUCAUGUCUUCAUGAAUCUAUCCUCUUCUCUAAGGUCUCUCAGUCUUGCUUUUUGUGAUUUGCAAGGAAAAUUCCCAAAAAACAUUUUUGAUUUGCCAAACCUCAAUCUCCUCAACUUGGGAGGCAACCAAAACCUCAAUCUUGAUCCUUUGAAGUUCAAUCGGAGCAGCAAUCUUGAACAUUUGGAUCUGUCGUGGAUGUCCUCCUCUACAGAAAUUGAUUCAGUUGAUAAUCUACAGGCCUUAAAGUACUUAGAUCUAUCAGGAAAUUCUUUCUUUCAAGGAUUGUCUGUCUCAAUCACAAAUUUAUCAUCUUUGGAGUACUUGAUUCUUAGAGGCGCAAAUGUUUUUGGAGGAUUGCCUGACUUGACGGGGAAUCUUGUGUCCUUGAAGUUUUUAGAUCUCUCCCAGUCCAACUUAUCAGGACCGGUUCCAAGAUCACUGGGAACCUCUUGCAACUCACUCAUUUAGACUUGUCGCAGAACCAAUUGAGUGGACAAAUUCCAAGAUUAUUGGGGAACCUCUUUCAACUCACUCAUUUAGACUUGUCGUGGAACCAAUUGAGUGGACAAAUUCCAAGAUCAUUGGGGAACCUCUUGCAACUCACUCAUUUAGAUUUGUCGAUGAACCAAUUGAGUGGACAAAUUCCAAGAUCAUUGGGGAUCAUUGGGGAACAUCUUGCAACUCACUCAUUUACUUGUCGGUGAACCAAUUGAGUGGACAAAUUCCAAGAUCAUUGGGGAACCUCUUGCAACUCACUCAUUUAGACUUGUCGGUGAACCAAUUGAGUGGACAAAUUCCAAGAUCAUUGGGGAACCUCUUGCAACUCACUCAUUUAGACUUAUUGGUGAACCAAUUGAGCGGACAAAUUCCAAGAUCAUUGGGGAACCUCUUGCAACUCACUCAUUUACAGUUGCCGGUGAACCAAUUGAGUGGAAAAAUUCCAAGAUCAUUGGGGAACCUCUUGCAUCUCACUCAUUUACACUUGCCGAUGAACCAAUUGAGUGGACAAAUUCCAUUGUCAAUUCUAAACCUAACGCAGCUGGAAUACUUUGUAAUAUCUAAAAAUUCUUUAGAAGGUUCCAUUCCAGAUGAGGUAACCGCUUUUCCUAAUCUAAUAUAUUUACACUUAAAUGACAAUUUACUCAAUGGAACAUUUCCGUCAUGGUUGUUUACUGCUCCCUCCUUAAAGGAAAUAUAUCUCUCUCAAAAUCAAUUCAGUGGGCAUAUCAAAGAAUUCCAAUCCAAAUCACUAGAAUUGAUAGCGUUACAGAAUAAUAAACUCCAUGGUUCUCUUCCAUCUUCAAUAUUCCAACUUCUCAAUCUUACCGACCUCGUUUUAUCCUCAAAUAAUCUUAGUGGUGUCAUAGAGUUUCGCAUGUUCUCAAACCUUCCAAAUCUAAAACAUCUCGACCUUUCAUAUAACAGCCUAUCCUUAACAUCUAAUACUACUUCUACUGUUAAUCAUAUAUUGCCUAAUCUUACAGGCUUACUUUUGUCAUCUUGCAAUCUUGGUGAAUUCCCCCAAUUUUUAAAAGGGCUUAAAAGUUUGGAAAGCUUAGACCUCUCUUGCAACAAAAUUGAAGGCAAGAUUCCACAGUGGAUGCAAGAGGUGGGGAAUGUCUCUUUGACUUACUUAAACGUAUCUCACAACUCUUUGACGAAGUUGAGCACUUUCCAUGGAAGAAUAUUGAAUUUCUUGACUUAAGCUCCAAUUUGAUCAGUGGAAAUCUUCCGAUUCCAGCUUCGACCAUCAAUGUCUUUUUGAUCUCAAAUAAUAGUUUCAAUGGAGAGGUCUCUUCUUUAAUAUGCAAUGCCAGUUCUCUUCGAAUUCUUGAUUUGUCCCACAAUAACUUGAGUGGAACAAUUCCGCAAUGUUUUGGAAAUUUGAGCAACAGCCUUGAAUUCUUGAAUCUGAAGAAGAACAUGUUUUAUGGGACGAUUCCUCCAACAUUUGCAAAGGGAUGCCAAUGGAGUAAUUUCAACUUAAAUGGAAAUUUGUUAGAAGGGCCUUUGACACCAUCCAUCCUUAAUUGUAAUGGUCUGGAAGUGCUAGAUCUUGGUAACAACAAGAUCAAUGAUACAUUUCCUCAUUGGUUGGGAAAUCUUCCAUAUUUGCAAGUUCUUGUAUUGAAGUUAAAUCAUAUGCAUGAUUCCUUGCGUGUCAAUAGCUCCAAGUCUAGCCCUUUUUUCUCUAAAAUCCAAAUUUUUGACCUCUCAAGUAAUUAUUUUACUGGACCCCUACCAGUGAGAUACAUCAACAGCUUCAAGGCUAUCAUAAAUCUAGAGAAGAUUGGGAGUACAUUGUUGUACAUGGGGGUGUAUGAUCGGAUUGCUAGUGGCUUCUAUACCUAUUCCAUUGGAAUUGUUAUGAAAGGACAAGAUAUGGAAUUGGUGAAAAUUUUCACCAUGUGGAUGAUCAUUGAUCUAUCAAACAAUCAGUUUGAAGGGGGUAUUCCAAAGGUUAUUGGGAAGCUUAACUUACUGAAAGGGCUCAACCUUUCUCAUAAUAACCUUAAUGGUGGUAUCCCCACCUCAACAGGGAAUUUGACAAGUCUUGAAUGGUUAUGUAGUUUUAGAUGUUAAGGAUAGGCUGUUAUAUGAAAGGUCGCGAUGUUUUAGAUUUGGAAGGUUUGAGAACAUGCGAAGCUCUAUGACACCACUAAGAUUAUUUGAGGAUAAGCUGAGGGAGGUAAGAUUGAGAAGUUGGAAUAUUGAAGAUGGAAGAGGACCUUCGAGUUUAUUAUUUUCUAGAUCUAAAUAUUCUAGUGAUUUGGUUUGGAAUUCUUUGAUAUGACGGAAGUGUUCCAUUGAGUAAAUUGUCAAAUAACACUAAAUAUAUUAGAUUCGGAACAGCGGUUACCUCAUCUGGAAUAGAACCUUCUAAAGAAUUUUCAGAUAUUUCCAAGUAUUCCAACUGCGUUAGGUUUAGAAUUGACAAUGGAAUUUGUCCACUCAAUUUGUUUGAUCCCAAGUCUAAAUGAGUGAGUUGCAAGAGGUUUCCAAGUGAUCUUGGACCGGUCCUGAUAAGUUGGAAUCGGAGAGAACUAAAAACUUCAAGGACACAAGAUUCCCCAUCGAGUCAGGCAAUCCUCCAAAAAAAUUUGCGCCUCUAAUAAUCAAGUACUCCAAAGAUGAUAAAUUUGUGAUUGAGGCAGACAAUCCUUGAAAGAAAGAAUUUCCUGAUAGGUCUAGGUACUUUAAGGCCUGUAGAUUAUCAACCGAAUCAAUGAAUUCUGUAGAGAAGGACAUCCACGACAGAUCCAAAUGUUCGAGAUUGCUGCUCCGAUUGAACUUCAAAGUAUCAAGGUUGAGGUUUUGGUUACGUCCCAAGUUGAGGAGAUUGAGGUUUGGCAAAUCAAAAAUGUUUUUUGGGAAUUUUCCUUGCAAAUCACAACCAGCAAGACUGAGAGACCUUAGAGAAGAGGAUAGAUUCAUGAACACAUGAGCAUUAACAGAAGACAUGUUGAUUCCAUCCAAAAACAGGUGUCUGACCUCGGUUAGGUUGUGAACAAGUCCCUCCAGAGCAUAUUUGUCAAUUGUUUGUUCACCAAACACAGAGGAGGAGAGAUCAAGUGAAACCAAUUUUGACAGGUGGGAGACUUGGGAUGGGACUUCUCCUGCAAACCAUGUAUAAGAAAGCUUGUAAACCGACCGAACUCGGACCUAUCUUCAAACAUAUUAAAUACCCAUUCACUUCAAUUCUACUAUUCUUAAAUCAUUAAAGUUUUGUGGAAAAUAUGCUUCUUGGAUAAAAAUUAUUCAACACACAUGCCUUGAAUUUUAUGCAAUAAAAUAAAUCAAUAUAGGCCACACAUGCUUUGAAUUUUUAAGUAGUCCACAAUUUUGUUCGUUUGUGUGCAAGAUUCUACAUUGCUUGACAGCCAUACAUACUAAGUAAAUAGACACCCACAUUGUUUACGUAUUAUGAGGAAGAAGAUUAAGUCAAUCUACUUUGUAAUCUCAUCAAUCUUAAUUUUCUCAGUUGUUUAGGGAGUUCAAAUGAAAUACAAAAUUUUGGAAAAAAAAUGUAUCCAAUUUUGUGAAUGAAAAAUAUAUGGUAAAAAGGAUUUGGUAUGGAUACUUCGGCCCGGGUAUCAAUACUCAGAGUAAGUUAAAGCAUCAGUGGAUGAAGAAGGAUCUGGUUGGUGCAAAUGAAGUUAAAGCAUUUGUGCUGUGUCUUCAUAAUUUCUUGUUUAGUAGUCUGUCAGAAAGUUUUUCCUAUGGUGAAAAGUUGCAUUGGUAUGUGUCUGUUUUUAUGAUUGUACCAAUUCCUCUGUAUUUCAUUGCAUUUCGUACUAUUUGUAAGGGUUUAGUUCGAGUGUAACAUCUUGUAUGGUGCAACUAUGUGUGUCUUCUUUCUUGAAUUUCAAUUUUUAGUAAACAUUGUACUGCUCACCAUAAAAAAGGAUACAUGUAGAAUUACAAAAGAUUCAAUUAUUCAAGUUUGAGUUGCAUUUAUAAAGACGUGGCGAUGAGAAUUCAUGAACGUAAGGUAUGGUUUGAGCCCUUUUGCCAUAUGCAUUUAUGUUGCAGAUGUUCAAAUAUUAAUUUAAGAGUAAUAUUUACAAUAGCAUUGCAGAGUAACAUAUUUAAGAUUGGAUUACACAGUCAAAAGAUUGCAGCAACGAUGAGAUUAAUACAAUUACAGGAAUUGGUAUCCUACAUGGCUUUUAGGCACGUAGCUUCAUUGACGAUGAGAUAAUUUUAGGAGGAAGCAACAGCAAGUGUGAAGUCAAUAGACAAUUGAUAGUCUUUAUUCUUUUGUGUGGAAAAUUAUUUGGGACCAAACUUAACGUGUUAUAAGGAAGAAGACUUUGUAAUCUCAUGAAUGUUAAUUAUUUUACUUCUUUGGUAAAAAAAAAGGAAUUAAUUUUAUGAAUGAAAAAUAUAUGGUAAAAAGGAAAUAGUUGUUGAUCACUAACAACAUGAUGAUUGUGGAAAUACAAAAAUUCCCAUAUAUGUGUUGAAUUCUGCAUAAUGUAAAUGUCCCGCAUUGCAUGUGAAUUCUGCAAUAGACCAAAUUUUACGUGUUAUAGUCCUUUAAACUGAGUUAAUGAAAAGUAAUCAUUCUUAUCAAAAUUAGUUAUACUCUUAAUUUAUAAUAAAAGAAAGAGUAAUUUGAGUUUAACUCAAAGGUUAAUAUGUCAUCAAUGGGCGAUGGCAUGGCGCUACCAUGUCAGCGAUUAUUUUCUUCUUUGAGUUAAGGUGAUUUCACCAAUUUUAGUUUACUUUUUAACUUCAAUUUAGGUUUAUGCUUAUUAGCUUCGAAGAUUCUAUGUGGGUGCCACAAUCAAAGGGUGAGUAAAAAGGGUUAAAAAUAAUUUUUUUUAAAAUAUUUUUAUUUUUAUUAAAAAUUUAGAAUUAGAAUUAGACAAAUUUUGUAAAUGUUAAGGGCUAACUUUAUUGAAUUUUUUUUUUCAGAAUUCGAACUAAAAUGACAAAUUUUGUAAAAAGCGCUAAAUUUGUUGAAUUUUUUAUAUUUAAGAUCAAAUUGAUAGAAUGUGUAAAUAUUAGAGGUUAAAUUCGUUAUUAGAUAAAAAAAAUCCACAUCAGCUUUCCGUCACUCAUCUAACGACAACUAAAGGGAGAGUGAUUAAAAUAUUUAAUUUCAAAAAGUUUAGCAACUAAUUGGAAAAUUUAAUAGUUGGGUGACUAUUUUUAUAGUUUACAACUUUUUUGGUCACAUGACUAUUAAGUGACACUUUUUAGUUGGUAUAAUAAUAAUUUUUAUCCUCAAUUUUUAUACUUUCUGUCAAUUUAACUCUAAUUAUAUAAAAUGAUUACAAAAGUGAAAUUCUUUUUAAAUUUUACAAAAUUCUAAAAAUUAAAAAUUAAAUGAAAGUAGAUAAAAAUUUCAAAUAUAAAUAAAGUGAGAGAAAAUGAGGGAAAUAUUAUUUUUAAACCCUCCAAAUUUUCUUUGUAUUAUUUGUAAAGAAAUAUCUAAUAUCCAUUCUUUUAGAAAACAUAGAAAAAAGUAAAAAAAAAAAAGAUUAAGUAAAAUUAUCUGUAUAUAAUCUGCUUUUAUAAUUUGGGUUUUUAAAAAUAAAUUUAAAUGAAUUGAAAAUUCGAAUUGAGUUUGAAAAAGAAAAUUUUGUGGUAUAUUUUAUAUUUUUGCUAGAAAAAUGGCAUCAAAGUUGAUUUUGUAAGCUUUUGUAAUAUAGUUACGGAUGUUCUUCAAGGGCAUGAAACUCAACUUGAAAAUUUUACUAAUUUGGUUGCAAAAAACAUUGAGGAAGCGUAUAAUGAUCUAACCUUUUUUUUGUUUUGUUCUGUUUUUAAUUUGUUAUGGGAUUCUAUUGAAUGAUAAUUUUUUUUAUUUCCCAUACAUAUUAGUUCUUCAACAACAACAUAUUCGAGAUUUUAUUUUUCUAGAAUUUUUAUAUAGAAGUUUAUAUUUUUUAAAAAUAAUUUUGAGUUUUUUUUAUAAUUUUUAUACAGAAGUUUAUAUUUUUUAAAUUGGCAAAAAAAAUUAUAAAAACAAAAUACUAGAAUUGUUAUUAUAGCAACUACAAAGUGUCAUUUAACAAUAGGGUGACCAAAUUGUAACUUUUUUCGUUAAGUGACCAAAACGAAGAUUUACCCAUAGUUCAGUGGCUAAUUAUGUAGUUUACCUUUUCAUAAUUAAAAAAUAGUUGUUAAGUUUUUCUUGUAUUAGAUAACAUUUUAGAUGGUAAAAACCCUCUUUAGUCCCUCUCAAUUUUGAUAUUAAGUAAAUUGGUCCAUUUUAAAAAAAAUUAAAGCAAUUUAAUCUUUGUUAAUUUCGAAAGUGAGCAACUAAGAACAAUUAAUCACAAUGUCAAUAUUUUCCAUCAAUUGUACAUAUUUUUAUUGGUAUAAUAACAAGUUUAUAAACUUGUUUACAUAUUCUGUCAAUUUGAUCUUGAUUUAACAAAUUUAUCCCGCAACAAUUACAUAUUCUAUUAACAUUUACAUAUAAUAUAUAAACAUCGAGAGCUUAUUUUGUUAUUAUAUCAAUAAAAAAUAUAUACAAUUUACAGAAAGUAUUAACACAAUGAUUAAUUGUUCUUAGUUGCUCCCAUUCAAAAUUGAUAAUGAUUAAAUUGCUCUAAUUUUCUGAGAGGAAUCAAUUUGUUCAAUAUAGAAAUUGAGAGGGACGAGAAAUGUGUUUUUAUCCAUUUUAGAUACCAACAAGUGUUUGGCGUAGUGGCAAAUCAUAUUACAUUCUCAAGGAGAUAAUGCGUAUUCAGACGUUGGAGAUAAUAAUGUUGUGUGCGGUAUCCACCGAUCUUGAACACGAAUUGUAAAACAUAUAUAAAGAAUAAAAAAAUAACAUCUUAAUUUAAAUAAUUAAUAAAUUUUAAUUUGAAAAAAUUAUUUUGAGAAACAUAAGUUUUAGUAAGUAGUAAAACUGAAUUAAUUUGAAUUUAAACUUAACGCAACUCGAUUUGAUUAUAAAGAAGUGAUAAUUUGAAUCCAAAAUGACAUGAUCUUAAAAUGAUUUGAAUUAAUUGUCAAACCCGAACGACAAAACUCGAAAUGAUGCAAUCCAAAAACGCUGGUUAAAAUGAUGCAAUCCAAUCGUAGUAAGUUUAACCUGCUGCUUUAGAUUUUGCAUUUUGGUUAAUUGGCUUGUGUUAUGUGUUUCUCUGGCAUCAGCCGAUAUGUGGAUUUGCCUCUCGUGAUGCACUACCAUUCAAGAAGCAUAAUGAUUUGUUCUACAUUGAUGACAAAGAUGUGGAGUUUAAAGAAGUAAGAACUGAUCAACAAUAUUCGAGGUUCUGUUGUAUGUUGCCUUAUUAAAUAAGUCUUCACUUAAAUUCCUAUGUUGCCUUAUGUAUGUAGGUUCUUGAGUCACCUUUACCAAAAGCACCACUUGAUACAUCUGUUACAUCCCACUGGCUUGCGAUUGAAGGCAUUCAACCAGCAAUUCCCGAAAAUGCUUCAAUUGAAGGUACCGUCUUAGCUAACCUAAAUAUUUUCUCGAAGCUAUUUGUGUUGAAUACUCUCAUGGUUCAUGUUCUUUUCUGGUUUUAUCACUUUAAUCUAAUACGACUUAUCUUCAUUUCUACAUGGAAUUGGUAGUUUGCUUUCCAUGCAGCACCUUCUGAUGGUAAAAAGGCUGAAUACAAAGAAGAUGGGCUUUCCGUUGAUGUCAAAUUACCUGUUAAGCAUGUAUUAUCUAGAGAGCUUCAAGUAUGUUGUACAUCUUCAGCAACAUUUUUAUGUUAAAAUACAUUUUGCACAGAAUGUUAUUAAAAGACUAAUUUGGUUGUCAUGCAGCUUUACUUUGACAAGAUCGUGGACAUUACCAUGAAUAAAUCAGUCUCAGUUCUCUUUAAACAAGCAUUACUGAGUUUGGCAACAGACUCGGGAUUACAUCCUUUAGUUCCUUAUUUUACAUAUUUCAUUGCGGAUGAGGUUGUCUUAAAGAUCUUUGAUACCUCAUUAUAUAUGUGUGUUGCAAAGAACUUUUGGUUGGUUAUCUCAAGCUUACAUUUUUGCCACAUUUAUCUCAGGUUGCACGGAAUUUGAAUAAUUUCCCUCUCAUGUUUGCUUUGAAGCGUAUUUGCAGCUUCUUGAACCUGAAAUAAAAAGACACGAGGCCUGGUGUGUUUAUGGGGCCCUGCUGGUAAGUUUAACAUCAAAUUUGGUACCAGUUUAUGAGCAUCGUUUCAUUUAUUUGCUGUAGAACUAACAACACUGCAUAAAAUUUCCACUAACAGCGUGCAGCUGGACUGUGCAUGUAUGAUCGGCUUAAAAUGUUCCCCAGUUUGCUAGCACCCCCAACUCGUCCCAUCUGGAAAAGCAACAACAAAGUUGCGACAAGUAUGAUUUCUUCGAACCAUCAUAUUUACACUUAAUCCACAAGUCUCUUCUCCCCCUUUACGAUAUUCCUUUUUCUGAUCAAUCAAGAUAAACGAAAAGCAAGCACGGACACCUUGAUGCAGCAGCAACCACCUGCCAAGAAAAUAGCAACUGAGAGUGCAAUAGGUAUGAUGCCGAUAAAUUCCACGCAAACUGAUUUACAAGGGGCAGUUAGCGGCUUUUCUACCACCGUAGGAGGUUCCAAUAUCGGUGUAUCAUCAAUGUCACGGCCGUUAUCAAACGAAAACAUGCUAGGAAGGGAGGUUGGGGGUCGAGUUUCAAAGACAUCAACCGUUCUAGCUCAGGCUUGGAAGGAAGACACAGACCCGGGGAACUUGUUAGCAUCAUUAUUUGAACUUUUUGGUGAAAGUAUGUUAUCAUUUACUCCCAAACCUGAGCUUUCAUUCUUCCUUUGAUUAAAUUUCACCUCCAAAAGCUAUGGUUUUUGAAGGAAUUUGUGUAAAUUAUCCCCAUAUUCUUUUCAUUCUUACUGUGUUUAUCUUUGUAAGUCUUCCUUUUUUCCUUGCUCAUAAAUGUAUUGUAGUUAUCAAAAAAUAUAUUCUACUUUGGAUUUUAUUUAUAUUAAAAUUUAGGUUAAAUUCUGCUAUUAGUCUCUGUACUUUACGAAAAUGAUGGAUUUAGUCCUUAUACCUUAAUUUGAUCAAUUUUAGUCAUUGUAUUUUUUGAAUUGGUCAAUUUUAAACCAUUUACUUUUUGAAUUUUGAAAUUUUAGUCUUGAUUCAAAUAAUAUUAAUAAUAAUUAAUACCUAAACAAUGCUCCUUUUCCCAAGGUACCUAAUUUUUAUUUUGGCCAUAAGUAUUACUAAAACUAUUCUUCCAUUACUCAUUUUACACCAAAAUGUUAUAUCGGCUAAAAAGAUUCCAACAAAUAAUAGAUUGUAUGUCAUAUAAGCUUUUAAAAAUAAUUAUUAAUUAAUUAAUUUUUUUAUAUUUUUCUUUCUUAUUCCUUUAUAAUGUUUGACAAUGCCGAUAAUGUUUGAAAUUGGCCCACUUGAGGUCGAAACGUUGGUGAUUAAUUUUGGUUUUGAAUUUCACCACCUACUUCUCUGACCUGAGGGAAACUAGUGUUUUCAAAAACAGAUUGAUUCAACUAGUUGGAUAGGAAAUCGGUCCGGAAAUAGGGGUUGAAUCGAUUGACUUGCGAACAAAAACAAAUCGGUUGAACUAGUUCUCUCCAUUUAUAUUUAUAUAAAUAAUAAUAGUUUUUUUUUACUACAUGUCAAUUUUUAAUUGGUUAAUUUUUUUUUUCAUAUAAACUGAACGGUUUGACUAAUGACGGAGGUACCAAAUUUUAGUCUAGGUACCAAUUUAUGGGUUAAGCCUAUUUCUAAAAUAGACUUUUGACUAAUGGCAGUAGUAACUUGGGAAAAAAAAGUAGUUUAUGUACCACUUGUGACAAAAAAUAAGUUUAGGUACCAACAUGGGAAAAUGAGUAUAAUUUAGAUACCGAUUUAUGAGUUAAGCCUAAUAUAUUUGUCGCAUCAUUUUUUGAAAAUAACAAAACUUAAUAAAUUUAACGGUUAUUGUUUGGUGAUGACUAAAAUUUUAAAAUUUGAAAAGUAGAUGAACUAAAAAUGACCAAAUUAAAGUAUAAAGAUUAAGUCCACAACUUUUGCAAAGUAUAAGGACUAAUAGCAGAAAUUAACCUAAAUUUCAUAUGGGUCAAUUACAAAAAUAAUCACUAAACUAUUCCUUUAGUUCUAUUCUAGUCACUCAACUAUAGAGGUGCUCAUGAGCCUGGCCAGGUCAGGCCUAAGCAUGAUAUUAAAGUACUUUAUGCUUGCUCAAGCUCGGCUCGGCCCAAAAUAUGAGCUUAAAAUUUUGCCUAAACUCAUCCAUAUUUGCAAAAGACUAACCCAAGCUCAUUUUAGGCAUGCCCAUAUAAUUUUUAGUUUUUUUUUUAAAUAUUUAUAUUAUAUUAUUUUAAUAUUUAAUAAUUUAAAUAUUUUUUAUUUAUUGAAAAUUUUUAUAUAGUCAUCUUAACAUUAUUUUAAUGUUUACAUUAUAGUAUUAUUAUAUAUUUAAUAUAAGUUUAUUUUUUUAAUCUGUUCUAAAUUAUAAAAUAUAAAGUAUUAUACACUUAAAAAUGGGCCGGGCUGGGCUCGAGCUUUGAAUGUUCAAGCCUAAACCCAGCUCAUAUUUUAAACGGGCCUAAUUUAUCACCCUUUGAUUUAUCAAAAUUUAUAACAAAUGAGAUUUUAGAUUUGAAUUAUGAGGCUAUAUAUAUAUAUAAGUAUACACAUUUUUAUGAAAUACAAAAUUUUGCUAAAACAAAAAGCAUAUAAAAGUAUACACGUUUUUAUGAAAUAAAAGAAAAAGCAUCCAAUUUUGAGAAUGAAAAAUAUAUGGUAAAAGCAUCCAUAACUUUUCAAUGUUAAAGAAAAAAAAGACUUAACACCAAUGUUGUGGUAUUAUUUGUUGCCUAUAAAUACCAUUCCUAUCCUUCAUCUUCCUCUACCAACAUAACAUGGCCCCCUGUCUCUUUCUCUGCCUAUUCCUCUUCUUUCCCCAUCUUUAUGCUUCUUUUUCUUCUUCAGGAUCUCACUCCUGCUCUUUACUAAUCCAGUUCAAGAACUCUUUUUCCAUAACAGAGGCUGCUUAUUCGUCUUGCGGCCCUAAAUCUUAUCCCAAGACAAAUUCAUGGAAGGAGGGUACAGAUUGCUGCUCAUGGGAUGGGGUCACUUGUGACCACCUAAAUGCUCAUGUUAUUGCCCUUGACUUGAGCUGCAGUUGCCUAUAUGGCACCUUCCCUUCCAAUACCACUCUCUUCCUUCUUCCUCACCUUCAAAAACUCAACCUUGCCGGCAAUGAUUUUAAUCUUUCCAAAAUUCCAUCCGAUUUCGGUCAGUUUACAAGCCUAUUCUACCUCAACCUUUCUUAUACAGGGUUUGUAGGAGAAGUCCCAUCCCAAGUCUCCCACCUGUCAAAAUUGGUUUUACUCGAUUUCUCCUCUUGGCCUGCUUUCUCUAUGCAAUAUAGAAUGGACAAACAUGCUCUGGAGGGACUUGUUCACAACCUAACCGAGGUCAGACAUCUGUUUUUGGAUGGAAUGGACAUGUCUUCUGUUAAUGCUCAUGUCUUCAUGAAUCUAUCCUCUUCUCUAAGGUCUCUCAGUCUUGCUGGUU